rnacentral:rRNA from 2 species
AGGCAGCAGUAGGGAAUUUUCGGCAAUGGGGGAAACCCUGACCGAGCAACGCCGCGUGAGGGAAGAAGUAUUUCGGUAUGUAAACCUCUGUUAUAAAGGAAGAACGGUAUGAAUAGGAAAUGAUUCAUAAGUGACGGUACUUUAUGAGAAAGCCACGGCUAACUACGUGCCAGCAGCCGCGGUAAUACGUAGGUGGCGAGCGUUAUCCGGAAUCAUUGGGCGUAAAGAGGGAGCAGGCGGCAAUAGAGGUCUGCGGUGAAAGCCUGAAGCUAAACUUCAGUAAGCCGUGGAAACCAAAUAGCUAGAGUGCAGUAGAGGAUCGUGGAAUUCCAUGUGUAGCGGUGAAAUGCGUAGAUAUAUGGAGGAACACCAGUGGCGAAGGCGACGAUCUGGGCUGCAACUGACGCUCAGUCCCGAAAGCGUGGGGAGCAAAUAGGAUUAGAUACCCUAGUAGUCCACGCCGUAAACGAUGAGUACUAAGUGUUGGGGGUCAAACCUCAGUGCUGCAGUUAACGCAAUAAGUACUCCGCCUGAGUAGUACGUUCGCAAGAAUGAAACUCAAAGGAAUUGACGGGGGCCCGCACAAGCGGUGGAGCAUGUGGUUUAAUUCGAAGCAACGCGAAGAACCUUACCAGGUCUUGACAUACCUCUAAAGGCUCUAGAGAUAGAGAGAUAGCUAUAGGGGAUACAGGUGGUGCAUGGUUGUCGUCAGCUCGUGUCGUGAGAUGUUGGGUUAAGUCCCGCAACGAGCGCAACCCUUGUCGCUAGUUACCAUCAUUAAGUUGGGGACUCUAGCGAGACUGCCUCUGCAAGGAGGAGGAAGGCGGGGAUGACGUCAAAUCAUCAUGCCCCUUAUGACCUGGGCUACACACGUGCUACAAUGGACGGAUCAAAGGGAAGCGAAGCCGCGAGGUGGAGCGAAACCCAAAAACCCGUUCUCAGUUCGGACUGCAGUCUGCAACUCGACUGCACGAAGUUGGAAUCGCUAGUAAUCGCGAAUCAGAAUGUCGCGGUGAAUACGUUCUCGGGCCUUGUACACACCGCCCGUCACACCAUGAGAGUUGGUAACACCCGAAGCCGGUGGCUUAACCGCAAGGAGAGAGCUGUCUAAGGUGGGACUGAUGAUUAGGGUGAAGUCGUAACAAGGUAUCCCUACGGGAACGUGGGGAUG